AAAAUGGCUGAAGUUCUGUUGCAGAAGGUACCACAGAAAUGGAGCAGAAGGAACACUCAGAAGAGGAUCCAGAAAAUGAAUAACAAAGUCCUGAAUCUAAUGCUUGGUUCCAAUUCAACACCUGGAGGUGACUCUUCAUAG
rnacentral:lncRNA from 1 species